CGCUCGAACCAUCAAUCUGUAAGGUUCUUUCUGUAGAUGUAUCCCCAGGGGGUAAGUGCAAUGGUAUCACCUGAAUACGUGCUCCAGUCCUAGCUUGCAUACUUUUGAUUGUCUCACCACCUUUACCAAUGACCAAGCCAACCUUAUUAUUAGGAAUUUUCAUAACAAACUGCUCAGAUCCUGAAGGGCCUGUUAAUCUUCGUGAUACUAUGCCAGAACCUCCAGAUUCAGCCUCAGAAAGAACAUCAUUUAUCAGCUGCUCGGCCUUAGCAAUUUGAUCCGGGGUACCCAUUAGCUCAACCAUACGGGUAGUAGAAUUGGGAUCUGCGUCCAUGUCACGAGUAACUUGUAUUUUUGCCCCAGACUGGAGCUGAAGGUACUUGAUGGUCUCACCACCUUUCCCAAUAAUUACGCCUACUCUCCCAUUUGGAAUCUCAAUUUUCUUGCUUGACCCUUGGAAACCGUAGGAAACAGGUAUUGCUGAAGAGGCUGAACUUGACAUGUGAGACUUCAGGUCUGGACCAGAACUAAAACCCUUGUCGUAGGAAUCAAACCCGCCGCCGUUCUCAACCCUCGGACGUUUGACAUCAGCUCCAACGCCAGGUCCAGCACCGGCCCCGACGCCACCACUGGAGAUAAUCAGGCGAGAGGCAAUCUCCUGAGCACGCUGCUUAGCGAGCUGGAUCUCAUCCAUAGGGGGCGGGACGUUGUUG
rnacentral:misc_RNA from 1 species